rnacentral:rRNA from 1 species
CCUACGGGAGGCAGCAGUGGGGAAUAUUGCGCAAUGGGCGUAAGCCUGACCCAGCCAAGUCGCGUGAGGGAAGACUGCCCUAUGGUUUGUAAACCUCUUUUGUCAGGGAGCAAUUGGCGCUACGUCUAGCGUUAUCGAGAGUACCUGAAGAAAAAGCAUCGGCUAACUCCGUGCCAGCAGCCGCCGUAAUACGGAGGAUGCGAGCGUUAUCCGGAUGUAUUGGGUUAAAGGGGUGCGUAGGCGGAAUGCCAAGUCAGCGGUAAAAUCGCGGGGGUAAACCUCGCUCCGCCGUUGAAACUGGCGUUCUUGAGUGGGCGAGAAGUAUGCGGAAUGCGUGGUGUAGCGGUGAAAUGCGUAGAUA